GACAGAGGGUGCAAACGUUGUUCGGAAUUACUGGGCGUAAAGCGCAUGUAGGCGGCAACGCAAGUCCCAUGUGAAAGCCCACGGCUCAACCGUGGAAGUGCAUGGGAAACUGCAGAGCUUGAGUACUAAAGAGGAUCGCGGAAUUCCCGGUGUAGAGGUGAAAUUCGUAGAUAUCGGGAGGAACACCAGUGGCGAAGGCGGCGAUCUGGGUAGAUACUGACGCUGAGGUGCGAAAGCGUGGGGAGCAAACAGG
rnacentral:rRNA from 1 species